UACGAAGGGGGGCUAGCGUUGCUCGGAAUCACUGGGCGUAAAGCGCACGUAGGCGGAUUGUUAAGUCAGGGGUGAAAUCCUGGAGCUCAACUCCAGAACUGCCUUUGAUACUGAGGAUCUCGAGUUCGGGAGAGGUGAGUGGAACUGCGAGUGUAGAGGUGAAAUUCGUAGAUAUUCGCAAGAACACCAGUGGCGAAGGCGGCUCACUGGUCCGGUACUGACGCUGAGGUGCGAAAGCCAGGGGAGCAAAGCGGG
rnacentral:rRNA from 1 species